rnacentral:rRNA from 1 species
AAGUAGCAAUACUUUGGUGGCGACCGGCGCACGGGUGAGUAACGCGUAUGCAACCCAUCUAUCAGAGGGGAAUAACCCGGCGAAAGUCGGACUAAUACUGCAUAAAACAGGGACACCGCAUGGUGAUAUUUGUUAAAGAAAUUCGCUGAUAGAUGGGCAUGCGUUCCAUUAGGUAGUUGGUGAGGUAACGGCUCACCAAGCCGACGAUGGAUAGGGGAACUGAGAGGUUGGUCCCCCACACUGGUACUGAGACACGGACCAGACUCCUACGGGAGGCAGCAGUGAGGAAUAUUGGUCAAUGGGCGAGAGCCUGAACCAGCCAAGUCGCGUGAAGGAAGAAGGAUCUAUGGUUCGUAAACUUCUUUUGCAGGGGAAUAAAGUGCAGGACGUGUCCUGUUUUGUAUGUACCCUGAGAAUAAGGAUCGGCUAACUCCGUGCCAGCAGCCGCGGUAAUACGGAGGAUCCGAGCGUUAUCCGGAUUUAUUGGGUUUAAAGGGUGCGUAGGUGGUUUGAUAAGUCAGCGGUGAAAGUUUGCAGCUUAACUGUAAAAAUGCCGUUGAAACUGUCGGACUUGAGUGUAAAUGAGGUAGGCGGAAUGCGUGGUGUAGCGGUGAAAUGCUUAGAUAUCACGAAGAACUCCGAUUG